UGGAAGGUGUUUACUAGUCUUGGUCGUGGUAUGUAAUGUGUUUACUAGUCUUGGUCGUGGUAUGGAAGGUGUUUACUAGUCUUGGUCGUGGUAUGUAGCGUGGUAUGGUAUGUGUUUACUAGUCUUGGUCGUGGUAUGUAAUGUGUUUACUAGUCUUGGUCAUGGUAUGUAGCGUGGUAUGUAGUGUGGUAUGGUAUGUGUUUACUAGUCUUGGUCGUGGUAUGUAGCGUGGUAUGGUAUGUGUUUACUAGUCUUGGUCGUGGUAUGUAGCGUGGUAUGGUAUGUGUUUACUAGUCUUGGUCGUGGUAUGUAGCGUGGUAUGGUAUGUGUUUACUAGUCUUGGUCGUGGUAUGUAGUGUGUUUACUAGUCUUGGUCGUGGUAUGUAGCGUGG
ensembl:lncRNA